rnacentral:rRNA from 1 species
UACGAAGGGGGCUAGCGUUGCUCGGAAUCACUGGGCGUAAAGGGUGCGUAGGCGGGUUUUUAAGUCAGGGGUGAAAUCCUGGAGCUCAACUCCAGAACUGCCUUUGAUACUGAGGAUCUUGAGUUCGGGAGAGGUGAGUGGAACUGCGAGUGUAGAGGUGAAAUUCGUAGAUAUUCGCAAGAACACCGGUGGCGAAGGCGGCUCUCUGGACCGGUACUGACGCUGAUCUGCGAAAGCUAGGGGAGCAAACGGG